GGUUCGACCCCUAUCUGGCGCGUUCUGGUCUGUCUUUUUCUUUUUUAUUCUUUUUUCUCUCUGGCUCUAAAACCCUAGCCCCCCCCAGUCCUGUGGAGGUUCUAUUUUUGUUAACAGAAGACAAGGACACAGCAAAGAAGGCAGCUAUGAAGGAGUUUGACAUCAUUGGAAACACUCUCUAUGUUGCUCUCUUCACGGAUGUCACCAACUCCAAGGAAAUGCUUGAAUCUAUGCAAGCUGGAACACUGGAACCAGAAGUUGCAUUUCUCAAUGCAUCACUUAUUCCAGAUGUUUUUCCAGUUCUAGCAGCUGCACACAAGACACUUGUAGCCAAGUCACGGGAGUCAUUGACAACACGCACUCUUCAUUCUGAGCUCGUAUACAAUUACUCAGGAUCUAAGCAUAUUACAGAAUCUUUGAAAAGGUGUGGAAUCUCUGAUAGCACAACGUACAUCCUUGCCGCUCGUUUCAAUGCUACUCUUGAUGAGAUGAAAGCCAUAGAGAAACUUAUCAGUGGAAAAGAGAUUGCCUUGGAGGAGUUGGAGGGAAGAGCAAACCAGACCCAGAUACAAAAGCACUAUAAGAUAUCUGGCCAGGAACUAGGGAUAUCCUCACUUGCAGAUGCUAUUACAUGCCGGAUCGCUGCUCGGGACGCCUUGUGAGAAGAAAGAAACUUCUCCACCCAAUCUGCACCAUCACUGCCCCAAAUCCGCAGCCCCACCAGGGCACUGCCCAGGCCGGAUGCUACCGCCACCGACUGGGCCGGACGCUACUACCACUGCCCGGACUGGACCACGCCGCCAACACCCAGGUCAAACGCUGCUACCCUGACGGUUCAGCCACUGCUCCACCUCUCUUUUGCAGGUUUGAGGUUUUCAAUAACCUAUUCCAGUGCUUCCAGUCCUCCCUGUCAGCAAUUUUAAGAGCUUAUAUGACUUCAUCAGUCUCUGCAAUAGGAUAUACUGCAGAGCUUCCAUCAUCUACAACCUUAUGGACCAAAGUUUCCAAACUUAUGUUCAGUAUGAGAAGCAGAGCUCAAUUGUCAGUAUGAGGUGCAAUGCUUUGGUUCAAGUUCCAACUGCUUGUGAAGAUCGGCAUGUUGAGCUCAUUCUGUCAGUAUCAGAUGGAUUGGUUUCUCUUUCACUAGCUCGACUGCUAAGUAACCAGACGAGCAUGGUUCACUCAAGUCUAGAGCUCACCCUGAAGAAGCUCAUUCUCGAGUUUUGUUAAAUCAAGCACCUUUCAUAAAACCUUCAGCCACCGGAGUUUUAGAAUUGCAAGAGGAGAAUCAAUAGAAAAAUUGGCCAAAGUUUUGGAGUUGCUGCGGUAGAAGCAAACACCUAUGGAAAUCCUUGAAGUUGCUAAUUUUUGUGUGGUGUGGCCUUUUUUUGUGAGGUUGUAAUGCACAAGUUAUGGUUGUAUAUGGCUAUAUGUGAUUGGUUUUUUAGUUAUGAAUAUCUAUAGUAAAUGAGUACUACAGGUACUUUUGUAUAUGGCUACAACUAAGUAUUUUGGGAAGUUAUAUUAAUGCACUGAAAUUGUGAAUUCCAACUUGAUUUGUUUAUUCGUCUAUGAUAGGAGGUUUUUUGCUAUU